GACGAACGCUGGCGGCGUGCCUAAUACAUGCAAGUCGAACGCACUCUCGUUUAGAUUGACGGAGUUUGCUCCUGAUUGAUAAACAUUUGAGUGAGUGGCGGACGGGUGAGUAACACGUGGGUAACCUGCCCUAAAGUGGGGGAUAACAUUUGGAAACAGAUGCUAAUACCGCAUAAAACCUAACACCGCAUGGUGUAGGGUUGAAAGAUGGUUUCGGCUAUCACUUUAGGAUGGACCCGCGGUGCAUUAGUUAGUUGGUGAGGUAAAGGCUCACCAAGACAGUGAUGCAUAGCCGACCUGAGAGGGUGAUCGGCCACACUGGGACUGAGACACGGCCCAGACUCCUACGGGAGGCAGCAGUAGGGAAUCUUCCACAAUGGACGAAAGUCUGAUGGAGCAACGCCGCGUGAGUGAAGAAGGUUUUCGGAUCGUAAAACUCUGUUGUUGGAGAAGAAUGUAUCUGAUAGUAACUGAUCAGGUAGUGACGGUAUCCAACCAGAAAGCCACGGCUAACUACGUG
rnacentral:rRNA from 1 species